rnacentral:rRNA from 1 species
UCAAAUCAUCAUGCCCCUUACGUCCUGGGCUACACACGUACUACAAUGGCGGAGUUACAACGGGUAGCGACAUAGCGAUAUGAAGCCAAUCCCUUAAAAGCCGCCUCAGUUCGGAUUGCAGGCUGAAACCCGCCUGCAUGAAGUCGGAAUUGCUAGUAAUCGCGAAUCAGCAUGUCGCGGUGAAUACGUUCCCGGGCCUU